ACAAGAUUGCAGGGGGACUCAUUACGAGUUGAGAAGGUUAAAACCUGACCCUUUGAACCUGUUAGUUAAUACUGGCGUAGGGAGCAAUAUCCAUCUAUUU
rnacentral:ncRNA from 2 species